AUGGGAACGCGAAGAACCUUACCCACCUUUGACAUGGCAGGAACUUACCAGAGAUGGUUUGGUGCUCGAAAGAGAACCUGCACACAGGUGCUGCAUGGCUGUCGUCAGCUCGUGUCGUGAGAUGUUGGGUUAAGUCCCGCAACGAGCGCAACCCUUGUCAUUAGUUGCUACGAAAGGGCACUCUAAUGAGACUGCCGGUGACAAACCGGAGGAAGGUGGGGAUGACGUCAAGUCCUCAUGGCCCUUAUAGGUGGGGCUACACACGUCAUACAAUGGCCGGUACAAAGGGCUGCAAACCCGCGAGGGGGAGCCGAAUCCAUCAAAGCCGGUCGUAGUCCGGAUCGCAGUCUGCAACUCGACUGCGUGAAGUCGGAAUCGCUAGUAAUCGUAGAUCAGAAUGCUACGGUGAAUACGUU
rnacentral:rRNA from 1 species